GUCUUUUUGUUAAUAAUUUAAAGUCUAAUCUGCCCACUGGUAUAUUUAUUAAAGGGCUGCAGUAUUUUGACUGUACAAAGGUAGCAUAAUCAUUAGUCUUUUAAUUGGUGACUUGUAUGAAAGAUUGGAUGAAAUAUAAACUGUCUCUUUUAUAAAAAAAAAAUUGAAUUUAAUUUUUUAAUUAAAAAGUUAAAAUUAUUUAAAAAGACGAGAAGACCCUAUAGAGUUUUAUAAUUUAUUUUGUAAAUAUUUUUAUUUUUAUAUUUUUAUAAUUUUAAAUUAUUUUGUUGGGGUGAUAAAAAAAUUUAAUUAACUUUUUUUAAUAGUUUACAUUAAUAAGUGAUUAAAUGAUCCAAUUUUAUUGAUUAAAAGAAAAAAUUACCUUAGGGAUAACAGCGUAAUUUUUUUUUUUAGUUCAAAUAAAAAGAAAAGUUUGCGACCUCGAUGUUGGAUUAAGAUAAAAUUUAAAUGUAGAAGUUUAAAAUUUUGAUCUGUUCGAUCAUUAAAAUCUU
rnacentral:rRNA from 1 species